UUCGGAAUGUAUGACUUCUAUUGAAGGUUCCAGAGUAGGCGCUACAACGCCGAAAUGACCUUCUCACCCUUGUGUACUCACUAUGUUGCUUUGGCGGGUCGACCUGGUUCCGACCCAGGCGGCCGGCGCCCCCAGCCUUAACUGGCCAGGACGCCCGGCUAAGUGCCCGCCAGUAUACAAAACUCAAGAAUUCAUUUUGUGAAGUCCUGAUAUAUCAUUUAAUUGAUUAAAACUUUCAACAACGGAUCUCUUGGUUCUGGCAUCGAUGAAGAACGCAGCGAAAUGCGAUAAGUAAUGUGAAUUGCAGAAUUCAGUGAAUCAUCGAAUCUUUGAACGCACAUUGCGCCCUCUGGUAUUCCGGAGGGCAUGCCUGUUCGAGCGUCAUUUCAACCCUCAAGCUCUGCUUGGUAUUGGGCAACGUCCGCUGCCGGACGUGCCUUGAAGACCUCGGCGACGGCGUCCUAGCCUCGAGCGUAGUAGUAAAAUAUCUCGCUUUGGAGUGCUGGGCGACGGCCGCCGGACAAUCGACCUUCGGUCUAUUUUUCCAAGGUUGACCUCGGAUCAGGUAGGGAUACCCGCUGAACUUAAGCAUAUCAAAAAACCGCGGAGAGGAAGAAAGAUCAUUUACUGAAAUGUAAUAACCUUCCUAUUGGAAAGGGUUCCCAGAGUAAGGCGCUACAACCGCCCAAUGACCUUUCUCACUUUGGUGUUACCUCACUAUUUUUGCUUUUGGGCGGGUCGACUGGUUUCCACAAGGCCGCGGGCGCCCCGCCUUAACUGUAGACGCCGCUAAUGCCGCCAGUAAUACAAAACUCAGGAAUCAUUUGUGAAGUCUGAUUUAUCACUAUUGAAUUAAAACUUCCACCACGACCUUGGUGUUCCUGCCGCUCAUUUAGA
rnacentral:rRNA from 1 species